rnacentral:rRNA from 1 species
GACGAACGCUGGCGGCGUGCCAAAUACAUGCAAGUCGAGCGGAACUGGGGGAGCUUGCUCCUUCCAGUUUAGCGGCGGUCGGGUGAGUAACACGUGGGCAACCUGCCCUGCAGAUCGGGAUAACUCCGGGAAACCGGUGCUAAUACCGAAUAGUUUGAGGCCUCUCCUGAGGCUUCACGGAAAGACGGUUUCGGCUGUCACUGCAGGAUGGGCCCGCGGCGCAUUAGCUAGUUGGUGGGGGAACGGCCCACCAAGGCCACGAUGCGUAGACGACAGGAGGGGGUGACCGGCCACACUAGGACUGAGACACGGCCCAGAAUCCUACGGGAGGCAGCAGUAGGGAAUCUUCCGCAAUGGACGCAAGUCUGACGGAGCAACGCCGCGUGAGUGACGAAGGUUUUCGGAUCGUAAAACUCUGUUGUGAGGGAAGAACACGUACCAACUAACUAUUGGUACCUUGACGGUACCUCACCAGAAAGCCACGGCUAACUACGUGCCAGCCGCCGCGGUAA